CAGCCGCCACGGGAAUACGAAGGGUGCAAGCGUUACUCGGAAUUACUGGGCGUAAAGCGUGCGUAGGUGGUGGUUUAAGUCCGUUGUGAAAGCCCUGGGCUCAACCUGGGAAUUGCAGUGGAUACUGGGUCACUAGAGUGUGGUAGAGGAUAGUGGAAUUUCCGGUGUAGCAGUGAAAUGCGUAGAGAUCAGAAGGAACAUCUGUGGUGAAGGCGACUAUCUGGGCCAACACUGACACUGAGGCACGAAAGCGUGGGGAGCAAACAGGAUUAGAUACCCGCGUAGUCCCUGUCUUUAUACA
rnacentral:rRNA from 1 species